rfam:Streptomyces turgidiscabies Car8 gcontig_1113219321533, whole genome shotgun sequence.
GCCGGUCCUCGGUAGUGGCCCCCGGGAACCGACUCCCGGGUGCUUCGAUCGAAGACCGGC